AACGAACGCUGGCGGCAGGCUUAACACAUGCAAGUCGAACGCAUCGCAAGAUGAGUGGCAGACGGGUGAGUAACACGUGGGAACAUACCCUUUGGUGCGGAACAACAGCUGGAAACGGCUGCUAAUACCGCAUGCGCCCUACGGGGGAAAGAUUUAUCGCCGAAGGAUUGGCCCGCGUCUGAUUAGCUAGUUGGUGAGGUAAUGGCUCACCAAGGCGACGAUCAGUAGCUGGUCUGAGAGGUUUAUCCCCCACACUGGUACUGAGACACGGACCAGACUCCUACGGGAGGGCAGCAGUAGGGAAUUUUCGGUCAAUGGGGGAAACCCGUAGACCGAGCAAUGCCGCGUGAACGAUGAAGGUCUUCGGAUUGUAAAGUUCUGUGAUUGGGGAAGAAUGGUAUUCUUAGGGAAUGAGGAGUACAUGACGGUACCCGAUUAGAAAGCCCCGGCUAACUAUGUG
rnacentral:rRNA from 1 species